AUCAAGGAGCUCUGUAAUGGGGUGUGUUGUUCUGUAAAGCACAGUUGUGCCUACCAUUCCAAAAAAUGAAAAUUAUUUAUUUGAUUUUGUUUUUACUGAUAUUUUCUGCUGAGCAGACUUCAGGGGAUGAACGGAUGUAUGAAUCAACUGCUGCAGAGCAGCAUGCCCCAUGCUCCUCGAUCGGAUGGAAAUCGAUGUUGGCUCUGUCAGCGGAAGUAGCUGCUCAACUGAUUGGGGAGGAAGCUGGUUCUGGAGACGAGAGUGUACCUGAGAGGAAGAUCGAAAAUAUGACUAGACUGCUGAAUGAGUCAAGUGGAAAUGGCUGCCACGAUCCGAUAUUUGGAGAGCCUAAUACUGUUGCCAAUUUGACUACCACUACCAUCACCACAACAUCCAUAGCCCUUAGCUGGAGUGCACCAAAUGGCAAUGCCGCUGGCUACAGGGUUGAAGCAGUAGGCAACCCAUCCAAAAAUCUAACUGUGAACACUUUAUUCACUGAUAUAAUUGGACUGGUACCUGGUAGCAAUUACACACUGCAGGUUUUUGCUCUGGCUGCAGAUAAUGUUACAGAAGGAGAUGCAGUGACAAUCUCAAGAUUUACAAAGCCUGCUGUCGUUGCUAGUUUGAUUAUCAGUACCAUCACCACAACAUCCAUAGCCCUUAGCUGGAGUGCACCAAAUGGCAAUGCCGCUGGCUACAGGGUUGAAGCAGUAGGCAACCCAUCCAAAAAUCUAACUGUGAACACUUUAUUCACUGAUAUAACUGGACUGGUACCUGGUAGCAAUUACACACUGCGGGUUAUCACCCUCGCUGCAGAUAAUGUUACAGAAGGGGAUGCAGUGACAAUCUCUAGAUUUACAAGUAUGUUUGGAAAAUACAUUUUAUUAUUAAAACCAGAUAAAAAUGAAUAGAGAAAACAGAGCCUGAUAUUGUUACCAACUUGAUUGCUAAAAACAUCACCAGAACAUCCAUAACCCUCAUGUGGAGUGCACCCCAAGGACAUGCACAUGGAUACAGGGUUGAAGCAAUAGGAACUCCAAACAAAACUGUUACAGUGGACACUUUAUUCACUAAUAUUACUGGGCUUCUCCCUGCUAGCAAUUACACCCUGCAGGUCGUCGCUCUGGCUGCAGACAGGGUAACAGGAGGAGACGCAGUAGCAAUAGUGACAUUUACAAGUGGGCUGGAUACUACUCUGAGAAUGAAAUUAUCUGUUUCUGCAUCAGCCACAAAAGAAAAGGAACUGGAAAGCAUUAUUUUGCCAGAGUUAAUAAAGUAUAUUGAGCAGUAUCUUGAAGACAACAGGUUUUAAUUUAACUCGGAAAGAACAAAGAAGUACAAAUCCUUCAGCCACAACAAACAUUACCGCACUGGACUCCUCAGAAACCAUUACGUCACUAUCAGAAAUGAGUACCAUGAAAAUACACAUAUACAAUUUAUUUUAUUUAUCUCCUACGUUAUGUUUUCAAACUGUUCAGUUUCAUUUCUAAGCUGACUGGCACUGAUCCGUUCUCAUUGGUAAACUGACUGGUCCUGAUCCUUUCUCAUUGGUAAACUGACUGGCUCUGAUCCUUUCUCAUUGGUAAACUGACUGGUCCUGAUCCCUUCUCAUAUGUACAUAAUUGUACUCAUGUUUAUGUUUGUUAGGGAUAUGGGUGGAUGACAAUGAAAUAAUAAGAAGGGGCCUGUCUCUGACCCUGUUUUUAUAUCGGUGUGUUUUAGUGGUUUAUUCUGCUUUUAUUUAAUUACACUGUUCUUGUAUAUUCUUUCAUAUUUGUUAAUCUGUUUUGUAUAUAUUAUAAUAUUUACAUUGUGUUUGUUUAUUUGUGGUGUGGGUAUGGGAUUGUGAAUACUGAAGAUCUCUCUCUAACACUGACGCUAGUUUAUUAUUAUUAUUAUUAUUAUUAUUAUUAUUAUUA